rnacentral:rRNA from 1 species
GAUGAACGCUAGCGAUAGGCCUAACACAUGCAAGUCGAGGGGCAUCACAUGAAGUAGCAAUACGGAUGGUGGCGACCGGCGCACGGGUGAGUAACACGUAUGCAACCUGCCUUCAACAAGGGGAUAACCCGUUGAAAGACGGACUAAUACCCUAUAACACAGGGGUCCCGCAUGGGAAUAUUUGUUAAAGGACAACCGGUUGAAGAUGGGCAUGCGUUCCAUUAGCUAGUUGGCGGGGUAACGGCCCACCAAGGCAACGAUGGAUAGGGGAACUGAGAGGUUUAUCCCCCACACUGGUACUGAGACACGGACCAGACUCCUACGGGAGGCAGCAGUGAGGAAUAUUGGUCAAUGGACGCAAGUCUGAACCAGCCACGUCGCGUGAAGGAAGACGGCCCUACGGGUUGUAAACUUCUUUUAUACGGGGAAUAAAGUGCCCCACGCGUGGGGUUUUGCAUGUACCGUAUGAAUAAGGAUCGGCUAACUCCGUGCCAGCAGCCG